UGCCAUGACUACUCAAUAUGUUUCAAAGAUUUCUCACUAACAGGAUUGCAUCCAUUUCACAGGCAGUAGCUGAAGAUCACGUCACUACAGCUCUUCUUCUUCAGUUCAGCUGAAACCACAAUAAUAGCUGCCACUAAUCAACAAGAAGUAGUUAAAGAAAAGUUAGGACAUGAAAGGCUGCAGGCCCUGACACCUGGAAGCCGGCCUGACGCAGGGAGACCGUGGUACUUCCUGUCGCAGCUCAAAGAAGGAAGAGCAAAGGGCACCAGGAUCAGGCUGCUCUGUGAAGGUGAGGCUUCUAGACAAACCCAAGGGCAUUCUGCAAUGCUGCCUGAACACAAACGAAAUAUGCAUCUUCUCCAAAUCAGAGAUGGCUAAAGCUCGCCCACCCUGGCUAAUGUGAGUGACUGUGGUUCCUCCCACCCCACGGUUGCUUCAGCCUCCCUCUUAUCUCCUGUCUAGAUAAAAUGUAUGAGGAUACCCAGACAUCAGUCUAAUCCAAAGCACUGUUUACAUGAACCUUCUGAAAAUUGGCUAAUGAAACUCUAAAUCCCAUAAUUGCUCUUUCCUAAUACCCGCAUACCCCACAUUUCCCUAUGGUGCGCACGCUCCCUCCUUGCAACGAACAACGAACUUU
rnacentral:lncRNA from 1 species